rnacentral:hammerhead_ribozyme from 1 species
GCACUGCUGAGGAGUCCCACAUAGGACGAAACGGCCAUUCAGUGC